rnacentral:ncRNA from 2 species
AACCUAAUAGCUCUUCGAGUCGGGCAAACCUGCAAACAUAAUGUUAUGGUAACCCGACCGUUAGGGUUCGCCGGGAAACCGGCCUGCCUCCCAUUGCGGAAAGAAGAGAAACGUGUCGGGUU